GGCGCGGGCGCAGGCACGUCCCGGCUGGGCUGCAUUUGAGCCCGGGCCCGUGGAGCCGCAACCUGACAGUACCGGAGUUGAAGGAGCCGGGACGCGCAAAGGCGCGUGAGUGCUCGAGGCUGGUGGAACCCGGGAGAGGAUCCGUGCCUGCGAACGGCCCGAGCAAGGUGGACUGAACUCUAAGAUUAAUCCUUCUGGAGAAGAUUAUGUUCUUGCUCAUAAGCCUGGUUUACAGAGUUCCCACUAAUCUUCAGAGAAGUCACCUCACAAACUUUGCACCAGUCACUCUUUUCCGUCCUCCUUUCAAGGUUUGUGUGCACCUGAAGCGCCCCCCUGUUGGUUGGUUCUGAGAGACUCAGAGAUUGAAGAGGGAAGUAACCUGCGCGAAUGAACGGGAACGCGCUGAGCACCGUAGUGCCGGUAUAUGAAUGGACACAAGGAGAAAAUAGUUAUACAAAGGCGACCAUGUUUGCCAAGAAGAAAUGGAUUUUAAUGGAAACCUUUUAUCUGGAACAAACUUUAAGAAGUGCAGUAAUGGACAGUGUGCUCUGCACGACUCUUCAGUCUUCGCUCUUGCAUUUAUUGUGGCCAAGUAAUUGAGCAAAGGAUUUCAAAUCAGGGUCAGCAACUUCUAUAGGAUAUAUAAAAACAAACAACAGUCCUCAUCUUUCUACCGAUCAUUUUCCUGUCUGCAAAGACAUCUACUUUCGACUCUAGAUGAUGCCCUUCAUAAGGACCUCCACACUGCAAAGGGAAUGAAACCUAAGGCUCAGGGAAAUGGGUGUGUUCAGCAGAUCUCUUCAUCCAUGCAUCAAAUGUGACCUCUCGGUGGCCUGGAGGCUUCCCUUCAUCAAGCCAUUACUAAAUUAGUAUCUAGGAGAAAUGAAACAAAGAGCCAACAUUUCAGCUCAUGGACUUUCAAGAAGACAAGUUCUUUAUAUAUUAUAGUGGACACUGUGGUCUGCCAGGUGUGUUGGCUGCUGACUCACAACUGCAAAGCUCUUUACAAAUUGUCAUCAGCAAAAGAGACACUUUACUCAGAUCAUCUCCAGGUCAGGCCUCUCUCCUGGAGCUAGUUGUUGACAACUAGCUAGUUUUAACAGUUGGCCAAUGUGAGGUUAUGAAGAUCUGGCUUCCUAUGUCUAGGUGGGACAACUCUAGAUCCAACUCCAGAGCUUCCUAUGGGAUCGACUGAGGCCUCUGUGUGAUUGCAUCCCUGGUCAACUACUCCCUCUGGCCCUUACUCCUUAAAGUUUAUGUCCCUGAGAACAUUCUCCAAUAAACCUUCCUCACCCAACUCUACAUCUGCUUCUGGGGAAAUGACAUAGGUGGGGUUGAUCCCCACAGCAGAAAUAUAUUGAUUUACAGUUCUA